AAUAAUAAUUUAUCUACAACUGAACCAAAAACAAUAUUGAAGGGUUCCCAAAUAAACCGCCACGUUCUCGAGAGGUUGUUCUGUCGACAGGCGCUCCUAAUUCUUUCUCUUCGACCAGUUGAGUUUGUAUGAUGUUGAAAACCCACAGCACGACGGUCCAUCGCCUCGCCUUCACGUGACAGUCACGUACGUACCCCGUGCUGCUGGCCCCAUCGCUCGUUGUCGUGACUGAAGAGCUCCGCGCGUGCGUGCGAGGGUGAAGUCAAUUAAGUGUGCUUGAAACUUGGAAAGCUCAAUCGACUGUUGUGGCCAGUUGACAGAGGGCAGGGUGUCCUGUACCACAAGUGAUGGGUGUGGCGGCCUGUGUCACGGUCUUGGUGUUGAUCACGUUCGUCUGCAUGGAAACAGUUUCUUGUAACCAAUGUCAGAGAGGGAGGGGAAUCUGUAAACCUCCAGGUCACUCGUGCAUGGGCGUGGUCCGUACAGGCUUGUGUCAUCAUCCAUCGCAUGUCUGCUGCUUUCCUCCCAGGCAUGGUGGAAAAAAGCGACGCAGCUCUGGACAAGAACUAGGUUAAUUCUGGACCCGAGUCAGAAGCUCUGCUUAUCGAAGAAGCAAAAGAAAAGACCAACACCAAUAAAUAACGACAAGAGCUGUUGUAGGUCUUGCCUCUCAGUUUUCAAUUACAGUUCUACAGAAUAUUAUCAUUCUAUGGGUCACAGCCUCGGUAACCUGUGAUUUACACUCACAAGAAUUAAGAAUUGAGUAAUGACCCUUUCCUGGAAUACUGAAUAAUUAAUUUAGGUGUUUGUGCUACGAAAAUUAAAAGAUGUUGGUCAAA